CUUGAGUAAUGAAGUGAGUCAGGGGCGUUGAUGAGAAUGACGUUGGUAAUUUGUCAGCACAAGUCUGAUAUAUGUUUACAUAACUUUGUAUGUGCUCUAAACUGGAGAUACAUAAACAAUUGCUUUUAUUUUUUCAAUGUUUUCGGAAUUAACUUUUUGUUGUCCUGCUUUCCUGGAGAAGAUGUGUCAUAGUCCAGGUACUGACAUUUUCAUCUACAUUGAAAGAAGUGUUGGGAAAGAAGCUCCUGGAAAAUGAAGAAGUCCAGAGAACAGGAAGGAAGACAUCACAGCCACAGAGUUUUUUUAGAAGAGGGAGGAAAAAACAAUUGAAGUACUAAGGUCAGAGAGAAUUAAAAAGCCUUUCACAGCAACAGAAAAUGUCAUGUACUGCAGAACUAAAGUUCUGGAAGAACACCAUGAAAAUUCCAGGUGCCCCUUUCAGUCCUGAGGCUGACAGUGACAGUCUUCCUUAGACAGCAUAGAGAUGGUUGAAGCAGGUGGUGAGUUUUCUAGGUUCUUCAUUGUUUCUUCUUCCUUCUCUCCUUUCUCCUUUUUAGAUAAGAUUCACCAGGGUUUAUUUGUAUGUAUUUUCUGAAGUGCUUUUAAAUCUUGUUCUUCAUUGAUUUGGAAUUCCAUGUUACACCUAAAUUUACUAGACAUGAUAUGUGUUUGUGUUUGCUUGGUUUUGACUCGUAAAACUGUUUGUGUUCAACUUCCGGUUUGCAUUUUCAUAACUCACCUUGGUGAACUGUUGAUAAACUUUAGUUUCAUCCUGUGCUUUGUUCCUUACCUUCUCGUUGCUGCACUUCUAUACACCACAGCCUUAUGUCCUGACUUCUCAAGGUCUCUGCUGUCAAAUAGGCUUGUAUUUCCAUAAGCUGAAGCAUUAUAUUGCAGUAAUAAAUAAACAGGGGGAAAAUGGUAAAAAGUAAAAAAAAAAUAAAAAAAAAUAAAAUAAAAAUAAAAAAAAAAAGGCCAACGUAGUCAUUAGGAAAAAAAAAAAAAAAAAAAAAAAAAAGAAACCAACCAAAAAAAAGAAAAAACAAAAACAAAA